CCUACGGGAGGCAGCAGUGAGGAAUAUUGGUCAAUGGACGAGAGUCUGAACCAGCCAAGUAGCGUGAAGGAUGACUGCCCUAUGGGUUGUAAACUUCUUUUAUAUGGGAAUAAAAUGUUCCACGUGUGGGAUUUUGUAUGUACCAUAUGAAUAAGGAUCGGCUAACUCCGUGCCAGCAGCCGCGGUAAUACGGAGGAUCCGAGCGUUAUCCGGAUUUAUUGGGUUUAAAGGGAGCGUAGGUGGAUUGUUAAGUCAGUUGUGAAAGUUUGCGGCUCAACCGUAAAAUUGCCGUUGAAACUGGCAGUCUGGAGUACAGUAGAGGUGGGCGGAAUUCGUGGUGUAGCGGUGAAAUGCUUAGAUAUCACGAAGAACUCCGAUUGCGAAGGCAGCUCACUGGACUGCAACUGACACUGAGGCUCGAAAGUGUGGGUAUCAAACAGGAUUAGAUACCCCAGUAGUC
rnacentral:rRNA from 1 species